AUGAAAUGCCUGGGACAUCAUCGUUAAGUGGCAUCUGAUGCAUAAGCAGUGCCCUAGGAAUGGGGUUGCCUGCCUUGGUCUCUAAAGGAUGGGUUCAAAAGGCAAGAGCAGCACACAAGAAGAUAGCUUCAAGCAGGAGAUAAAGCUUGGCCCAGGGCCCAAAGGGGAUACGACCCUUCAGCAAACUGACAUGCUGAAAGCUGCCCUAUGGAGAGGCUCAUGUGGCAAGGAACAGAGGGUGGCUUCUGGCCAACACCCAGUGAGGAACUCAGGCCCUCAGUCAAACAGCCUGCAAGGAACUGAACCCUGCCAAUAACCAGGCAGUGUCAGCCCCCGGCCAAUGACCACCAUGGACCUCCCUGUAGUUGAACAAAGUUGGGUUUGCUGACUGGUGGCAGUGAGGGAGAAUGCACACCACAGGGAGCUGUGCAGUGUCUCAGUAAGAAGCCAGGAGCCAUCCCGUGAGGCCGUUACUGCAAACAAGCUGAAAAUCCUGCUUUGUUUCUUUUGGACACAACAUGCUUUCCUUCAGCUUCAGUAGACGAUGAGGCCAGCACCACAUGGGCUAGAUGUACAUGAGAUGUGAGCAACCACACUUCCCCUCUGACGGGGACAGACAGCAUCACAGGCUGAGCUCUGAAACUUCUCCUGGCAGUUCAAGAGAGCGAUGGAGGGAAUGCUGGGGCACAUCUAAAUAAAGCCUCCAAGUGGGAGUUCCUGCUC
rnacentral:lncRNA from 1 species